rnacentral:rRNA from 1 species
AAGGGCGAUAUGUAAUGUGAAUUGCAGAUCUCAGUGAAUCAUCGAAUCUUUGAACGCACCUUGCACCCUUUGGUACUCCGAAGGGUAUGCCUGUUUGAGUGUCAUUAUCAUCCUCAACUGGAAUAUUUGUUUAUUCCAGCUUGGACUUUGGAGGUCUUGCUGGCUGCAAAGUCAGCUCCUCUUAAAAUGCAUUAGCGGUACAAGCAGAAUCGGCUUCGGUUUGAUAGAAAUAUCUAUGCUGUCGCUGAGAAACAAUAUGUGCAGCUUCCAAUUGUCUUCGGACUGUCUUUCACAAGGCAUAUAUUGACUCUUGACCUCAAAUCAGGUAGGACUACCCGCUGAACUUAA